ensembl:lncRNA
CUUCUAUGUAGUUUUAGUCAGCCAGUAAAUGCUGGGAGCAGGGGAUCAGCAGUAAUUUAAAGAUCCUCAUAGAUGGAGCAUUUCGGGUUUGUCGUGACCCCUCUGUGCUGUGUUUAUCCUGAGACACUGUUUGAAAAGACACAUUUGUUGUUCUUUAGUUCUUUAAAAAUGCAGGCCUUUUCAGUGAGACCUGCUUAUUUAGAACUUCGGACGAGAUUCUUCUUCAGUUGUAAUGUUGCUGUGGAUAAAACAUUUGUCAAAUUCGUGUAAAAAGUUUUGCAGACAUCCUCCUUGCCCCUACUACCUUUUUCUUGGUUUGCCUCUUCAUGGGCUCUUAUUCAAAAGCUCUCGGAUUUCGGCUGGAAGCUGUUUCAUGUCAGAUGAAAAGUCGCCGUUGACAGACCAAAGUGCUGGAACCGACCAAUCAGAGCCGAGCAAAAUGGAACUGAGUCUCCUCACCCUGGCAACCGCUUCUAGCUGCUUUCCCCUGUUGGCUGGUUUUCUUGUCAGACGGCGCUCAUUGGCUGAGCCGCGGGGCAGAAUCUCUGUGACUCAGCACACCUGAAAGUCAACGCGGGAACUGGGGCAUAUUAACACACCACACACUAACACUCUACAUAGUCAGGUGCUUCACUGCUCACUGUACUGUACAGCAGCUGAAGAUUAUGUAAAGCCCUGAUGCUGGAGGCAGAUGUUUGAGGAGGAAGGAGUGAUAUUUAAGCCUUUCUGCAGAUGUGGGAAAACAGAGUGCACUGGCAGCGCACACACAUAAACACACACACUCACACACACACACACACACACACACACACACACACACACACACACACACACACACACACACACAUCUACCUCUUCCCCUGACAUAAUUAUUAAUGCAGCUAAUUAAUGCUCUGCCUAGACCUAAAUCUAAUACUACCCUCAACCCUAGUAAUGAAAUGGAAAUCUUCU